GGGUGAGUAACGCGUGGGAAUCUACCUUUUGCUACGGAAUAACGCAGGGAAACUUGUGCUAAUACCGUAUGUGUCCUUCGGGAGAAAGAUUUAUCGGCAAGAGAUGAGCCCGCGUUGGAUUAGCUAGUUGGUGGGGUAAAGGCCUACCAAGGCGACGAUCCAUAGCUGGUCUGAGAGGAUGAUCAGCCACAUUGGGACUGAGACACGGCCCAAACUCCUACGGGAGGCAGCAGUGGGGAAUAUUGGACAAUGGGCGCAAGCCUGAUCCAGCCAUGCCGCGUGAGUGAUGAAGGCCCUAGGGUUGUAAAGCUCUUUCACCGGAGAAGAUAAUGACGGUAUCCGGAGAAGAAGCCCCGGCUAACUUCGUGCCAGCAGCCGCGGUAAUACGAAGGGGGCUAGCGUUGUUCGGAAUUACUGGGCGUAAAGCGCACGUAGGCGGAUCGAUCAGUCAGGGGUGAAAUCCCAGGGCUCAACCCUGGAACUGCCUUUGAUACUGUCGAUCUGGAGUAUGGAAGAGGUGAGUGGAAUUCCGAGUGUAGAGGUGAAAUUCGUAGAUAUUCGGAGGAACACCAGUGGCGAAGGCGGCUCACUGGUCCAUUACUGACGCUG
rnacentral:rRNA from 1 species